UUUAUGUAUUUUGUCAUCCAGGUACUGUUGCAGGACAAAGUAAUAUUGGGUAGAAUUGGGAAUGCAGAAACACUCCUUGAACUAUCCAAGAAGAUACCCAGCCCAACUUGCAACCCAAUUGAGGCUUUUAAAAUGCACUUUCUCAUCAAGGACAGUCUGCAAGGUGAAAAGCUCAACACUUUUUUCAGAGGAUGGUGCAAAAUACAGCUUUUGUGGUGACAAACAGUUUUCUUCACAAAUGAAAACCAUCCCUGUUUGUGAAAAACACCCAUAGCUGAUAUCCUGGGCCCUGCCAACUUCCAGUCUCCGAGCCAGGUCUGACUUCUCUAAUUCAAGGUAUUUUUUACAACUGGAGGAGAGAAACCUUGUGCUGUGGUGCCCCUUGUGUCCUUCAGAACUCGGGCGAGUUGUCUGGGGUAUCACCACUCCAUCUCAACCAUCAGGUUUGUAAAUAGGUUUGAAAUUCUGUGUAUCUUCACUCCCACCUGGCACUGUCAGUGCUGCUCAGUCCUUGGAGAAUUCAUCCAGGCAAAGAAUCCCCACAGCUCAGCCCACAGGGAAAUACAAAAGCUUUGGGCAUUGCUGGGAAAUAGAAAAUCUUUGGGCAUUGCUGGAAAUUAACCAGACCUCUGCUGUGCCCAGGAAAUGUCUUCCCUUUCCAGUCGGGCAAGCAAGGAGCUGAUUGCAGGUUAAAGUCCACCAAUGAGUGAGUCCAAGUGAAACACAAAGAAUGAGGUAUUUUGCACCAGCCUGAGGUACAAACUCCCACAAGCAGCCAAGGCAGCCGUUCUGGGAAACGAAAAUACUCAGAAAUGUCUGGCCCCAGCCUCUCUUUCUCUAUAGAGAGAGAGACAAUUGG
rnacentral:lncRNA from 1 species